rnacentral:rRNA from 1 species
CCUACGGGUGGCAGCAGUAGGGAAUCUUGCUCAAUGGGCGAAAGCCUGAAGCAGCGACGCCGCGUGCGGGAUGAAGGCCCUCGGGUUGUAAACCGCUUUCAGCAGGGACGCGGUACCUGCAGAAGAAGGCCCGGCCAACUACGUGCCAGCAGCCGCGGUAAUACGUAGGGGCCUAGCGUUGUCCGGAUUUAUUGGGCGUAAAGAGCUCGUAGGCGGUUUGGUGAGUCGGGUGUGAAAUCUCCCCGCUCAACGUGGAGGGGCCACCCGAUACUGCCAGACUAGAGUCCGGUAGGGGAGUGUGGAAUUCCCGGUGUAGCGGUGAAAUGCGCAGAUAUCGGGAGGAACACCAGUAGCGAAGGCGACACUCUGGGCCGGACUGACGCUGAGGAGCGAAAGCGUGGGGAGCAAACAGGAUUAGAUACCCUUGUAGUC